rnacentral:rRNA from 1 species
AAGUCUGAUGGAGCAACGCCGCGUGAGUGAUGAAGGUUUUCGGAUCGUAAAACUCUGUUGUAAGGGAAGAACCAGUACGUCAGGCAAUGGACGUACCUUGACGGUACCUUAUUAGAAAGCCACGGCUAACUACGUGCCAGCAGCCGCGGUAAUACGUAGGUGGCAAGCGUUGUCCGGAAUUAUUGGGCGUAAAGCGCGCGCAGGUGGUUUUUUAAGUCAGAUGUGAAAGGUACCGGCUCAACCGGUGACAUGCAUUUGAAACUGAAAGACUUGAGUAUUGGAGAGGCAAGUGGAAUUCCUAGUGUAGCGGUGAAAUGCGUAGAUAUUAGGAGGAACACCGGUGGCGAAGGCGGCUUGCUGGACAAAUACUGACGCUGAGGUGCGAAAGCGUGGGGAGCAAACA